AGACCAGUUUCCGGUGAGCAUGGUGACAGGGUUGCUGUACGAAGUGGCCCUGAGGGGCUUGGCCACCAUUUCUGAGGGUGGGUCAGGCCUCCGGCCCACAGCGAUCCUCUGCCUUCCUGCGUAGUCAUGCCUGUCACUCAAGGAAAAACGUCCGGAUGACACGUGACACAGCACUGAGUGAUUCGGGGUGAGCCCUGGGGAAGGAAAAAAUGGGGAAGGUGGUUUGGGGAUUUUCACUCUUCUCCCUACAUCUGUCUUAGCCUAAGUUUUCUUAUCUGUGAAAGAGUUCUGAGAUUUUUCGUCGCCAGAUGUCUUUAUAAAGAGUAAAUGAGAUCACAUACAGGCUGGCCUUGGAGAUAUUGUGGGUUGGGUUCUAGACCACCUCAAUAAAGUGAAUACGGCAAUACAGUGAGUCACAUAAAAUUUUUGGUUUCCCAGUGCAUAUAAAUUUAUGUUUAUACUAUACUGUAGUCUAUUAAGUAUGCAAUAACAAGAUGUCACUCCAAUGUCUCCAGACAUUGUCAAAUGUCCACAAAGGGUCUGUGUCCAGCAAGACCGUGGAAGUCAGACCUAGGACAGGAAGUAAGGAGUGCAGUGUUGUUAAAUAUCUAUACCUGAUAUGGAUAUUUAAGUCUAUCAACUACUGUAUUUAUAUUCUCAACUCUAACAUUUAAUGUUUUCACUAUUGUUGUUUCCCUGAAAUUCUAUAAUUCACUUUGUAUUUCCCUCUGACUCAAAAGUUGGUUAAUAAGGAAUCAUACGAUUUCUAGGUCAAGGCCUUUUUGGUUUUGUGACUUUCUUAUCAAUUUCUAGUUUCAUUGCAUUGUGAUUAGAAAAUGUUUUCUGCAUUAUCUCUCCUCUUUAGAACUAAUUGAAGUUAUUUGUGUGGUUUAUUAGUUAAUUUUGGAAGUGUCCCAUGGUCACUUGGAAAGACAAUAUAGUCUAUAUUUUUAGGAUUUAAAGUUUAGUAGAUAUCCCUCAGGUAUACUAAAUUGAUCAUGUCAUUUUGGUCUUUUAUAUCAUUACUUUCUUUUGUACAUUUGCUCCAACCUGGGCUGAGAGAAUUUGCAUUUUCUAUAAGUGACCACUGGUACCAGCCAAGGUGGAAUACGUGCACUUCCGUCUACCGUCCCACUGGGAACGCUGAAAACUCUGGGAGGAACAUAAAGAACAACUCCCUGAGCCCUCUAAAAAGCCAGCUCCAGCUGUGGAGCUGCACCACUAUGCUGCUGGUCCUGGUGCUGGAAGCCCUGAAACUUUGAUGAAAGACCCAACUCUCCAACCAGAGGAACUGGAAAUGGAGUGGGGUGAAUCCCUGUUUAUUUCUUCCUCUUUACUGUUGCCACUUGGCUCCAAAGAUGGCCCCAGUCAUGUGGAACUAUACAAUAGCACAAAGAAUUAAAAAGCUAAGAAAAACCUGAUUUUCUGGACAGAAGAAAACUGGAAAAAGAGCUCCAGCUGUUUUAAAAAUGGGGGGAUAAUCCCUGUUAAUUUUUUUGUCUUUUCUUUUACCAAUUUAUUCCUAAGGUAGUCCUAGUCACGCAGAGCUGCAUGGCAGUGCGGGAAGCUAAAUCUUGGAGAUAACACUAUCUUUCUGUCCAGAAGAACCAGGAAAGGAGAGCCCUGAAUGCCAAAAAUUGUGGGAGAUAUCCUGGAAAUUGUCAGUGAACUUGAAGAUUAAUCAAUAGGAAUUACACAGCCUGAAGAUUGAGAGAAAAAAAAAUGAAACAAAAACAGAGCCUCAAGCACCUGUGAGACAAUAUCAAAAAGUCUAAUACUCUUAUUAUUGGAGUCUCAGAAGAAGAGGAGGAGGACACUGGUGCAGAAAAAUAUUGAAGAAAUAAUGGUUGUAAACUUCCCAGACUUGAUGAAAAACGUAUAUAUAUAUAGGUUCAAGAAGGUUAACAAACUCUAAACAAGAUAAACUUAAAAAAAAUGCAUUGUAAAUGAAAAUCAAAGGUAAAGGAAAGACAAUUAAAAGCAACCAGAUAAAAACAGUAUACUAUGUAUCAGAGAAGAGUACUUUGGAUAACUGCAAAUUUCUCAUCAGAAAAUAGGAAGCAGGAAGAUGGUGGAACAACAUCUAUAAAUUACUGAAAGAAAAUAAUUGUCAACCCAGAAUUCUAUAUCCAGCAAAAAUAUCUUAGAAAUGACAGUGAAAUAAGGACAUACUCAGAUUAAGAGAAAGUAAGAGAAUUUGUCACUAACAGACCUAUAAAAGAAAUGCUUAGCCAAGUUCUUCAGGAAAAAGGAAGAUGAUCUGGAGGAACACUUGGAACUUCAGGAAUGGCAUUAGAGCAACAGAAAUGAUAAAUAUCUGGUAAAUAUAAUGAAUUCUUUUUCUCUUUUUAAAUUAUUUAAAAUGUAUAUGACUGUUGAAAGCAAAUAUUGUAACAUUUUCUGGGUAUAAUUAUUACUGAGAUGUGGUACAUAUGACAAUUAUAACAUAAGGAGAGGAGGAUAAAUGAACCAAUAGAGUCAUAAGCCUUCUAUAAUAUACUUGAAAUGGUAAGAUAUGAACUCUAAGUGGACUAUAAAAUGUUAAAUAUAUGUAUUGUAAUCCCUAGAGAAACUACUAAUAAACUGAUACAAAAAGA